rnacentral:rRNA from 1 species
CCUACGGGAGGCAGCAGUGGGGAAUAUUGCACAAUGGGCGAAAGCCUGAUGCAGCAACGCCGCGUGAAGGAAGAAGGCCUUCGGGUCGUAAACUUCUGUCCUUGGGGAAGAAGAACUGCCUUUACCCAAGGAGGACGCCCCGCCUAACUCCGUGCCAGCGGCCGCGGUAAUACGUUGGGGGCAAGCGUUAUCCGGAAUUAUUGGGCGAAAGGAGUACGUAGUUGGCAACCUAAGCGCAGGGUUUAGGGCAAGGUUUCACCCAUUGUUCGCCCUGGGAACUGGGAUGCUUGAGUGCAGGAGAGGAGAGUGGAAGUCCGAGUGUAGCGGUGAAAUGCGUAGAUAUAAGGAGGAACACCAGUGGCGAAGGCGGCUUUCUGGACUGUAACUGACACUGAGGUACGAAAGCAUGGGGAGCAAACAGGAUUAGAUACCCUGGUAGUC